GCCCGCAUCCGCGGGUAAUACGUUGGGGGCGGGGGGUUUUCCGCAAUUUUUGGGCGUAAAGGAAGGGUUGGGGGGAUUUUUAAGUUGGAAGGUGAAAUCCCUGGGGUUCAACCCAGGAAAUUGCAUUCCGAACUGGAUAUUCUUGAGUAUAGUGGAGGAAAGCAGAAUUCCUAGGUAGGGGGGAAAUUCGUAGAUAUUAGAGGAAUACCAGUGGCGAAGGCGGCUUUUUGGACUAUAACUGACACUGAGGCAUGAAAGCGUGGGUAGCAAACAGGAUUAGAUACCCUGGUAGUCCACGCCGUAAACGAUGGGUACUAGGUGUAGGAGGUAUCGACCCCUUCUGUGCCGUCGUUAACACAAUAAGUACCCCGCCUGGGGAGUACGGUCGCAAGACUAAAACUCAAAGGAAUUGACGGGGGCCCGCACAAGCAGCGGAGCAUGUGGUUUAAUUCGAAGCAACGCGAAGAACCUUACCUAGACUUGACAUCUCCUGAAUUACCCGUAAUUGGGGAAGCUCUUCGGAGCAGGAAGACAGGUGGUGCAUGGUUGUCGUCAGCUCGUGUCGUGAGAUGUUGGGUUAAGUCCCGUAACGAGCGCAACCCUUAUUUUUAGUUGCUACCAUUAAGUUGAGCACUCUAAAGAGACUGCCCGGGUUAACCGGGAGGAAGGUGGGGAUGACGUCAAAUCAUCAUGCCCCUUAUGUCUAGGGCAACACACGUGCUACAAUGGUGAGAACAAAGAGACGCAAAAUCGCAAGGUCAAGCAAAUCUCAUAAAACUCAUCCCAGUUCGGAUUGCAGGCUGAAACUCACCUGCAUGAAGUCGGAGUUGCUAGUAAUCGCGAAUCAGAAUGUCGCGGUGAAUACGUUCCCGGGCCUUGCACACACCGCCCGUCA
rnacentral:rRNA from 1 species